GACGAAGGGGGCUAGCGUUGUUCGGAAUUACUGGGCGUAAAGCGCGUGUAGGCGGUUGUUCAAGUCGGGUGUGAAAGCCUUGAGCUCAACUCAAGAAAUGCACUCGGUACUGGAUGACUAGAAGACCGGAGAGGAUAGUGGAAUUCCCAGUGUAGUGGUGAAAUACGUAGAGAUUGGGAAGAACACCAGUGGCGAAGGCGGCUAUCUGGACGGUUUCUGACGCUAAGACGCGAAAGCGUGGGGAGCAAACAGG
rnacentral:rRNA from 1 species